rnacentral:tRNA from 1 species
GUUCCGUGAGGCUCAGUUGGUAGAGCAUGGUGUUUGCAACGCCAGGGUUGUGGGUUCAAUUCCCACAGGGGGCC